rnacentral:rRNA from 1 species
GACGAACGCUGGCGGCAUGCUUAACACAUGCAAGUCGAACGGAAAGGCCCUGCUUUUGUGGGGUGCUCGAGUGGCGAACGGGUGAGUAACACGUGAGUAACCUGCCCUUGAGUUUGGGAUAACUUCAGGAAACUGGGGCUAAUACCGGAUAGGAGCUCCUGCUGCAUGGUGGGGGUUGGAAAGUUUCGGCGGUUGGGGAUGGACUCGCGGCUUAUCAGCUUGUUGGUGGGGUAGUGGCUUACCAAGGCUUUGACGGGUAGCCGGCCUGAGAGGGUGACCGGCCACAUUGGGACUGAGAUACGGCCCAGACUCCUACGGGAGGCAGCAGUGGGGAAUAUUGCACAAUGGGCGGAAGCCUGAUGCAGCAACGCCGCGUGCGGGAUGACGGCCUUCGGGUUGUAAACCGCUUUCGCCUGUGACGAAGCGUGAGUGACGGUAAUGGGUAAAGAAGCACCGGCUAACUACGUG